rnacentral:rRNA from 1 species
UACGAAGGGUGCUAGCGUUGUUCGGAAUCACUGGGCGUAAAGCGCGCGUAGGCGGCCAUUCAAGUCAGGGGUGAAAUCCCGGGGCUCAACCCCGGAAUUGCCUUUGAAACUGUAUGGCUGGAGUGUCGGAGGGGAUAGCGGAAUUCCUAAUGUAGAGGUGAAAUUCGUAGAUAUUAGGAGGAACACCGGUGGCGAAGGCGGCUAUCUGGACGACAACUGACGCUGAGGCGCGAAAGCGCGGGGAUCAAACAGG